AAACUCAUUCUGGAAGAGGAAAACGAGCCAUCCCAAAAUAUAGCAAAAAACCUCUUCCAGCUGUUUAGUAUUGUGGGAGAAAGAUUAUUUCCUGACGGAUGGGAAAUUGACCAAUCCAGUGUCGAUGCGAUUCAAUCGGACGAGAUACCAUUAAACAACGAACUGAUAAUUCGCUCUAAGGAUCGUUGUCAAUCAGCACCUGUCCGGCCUUCACAAAUUCAACGCAUAAAAAAAUCAAUCAGCAACAUCUUCAGAAGAAGAAAUCCGCAAUGAAAGGGAUGUGAUAGAUUGCGAGGCAACAUUGUUUGUGAAGAAAUUUUAUUUUAAAUAUGAUUCAACAUGCACUAGAAAAAGUGUUAGUAUUUA